rnacentral:rRNA from 1 species
AUUGAACGCUGGCGGCAGGCCUAACACAUGCAAGUCGGACGGUAGCACAGAGAGCUUGCUCUCGGGUGACGAGUGGCGGACGGGUGAGUAAUGUCUGGGGAUCUGCCCGAUAGAGGGGGAUAACCACUGGAAACGGUGGCUAAUACCGCAUAACGUCGCAAGACCAAAGAGGGGGACCUUCGGGCCUCUCACUAUCGGAUGAACCCAGAUGGGAUUAGCUAGUAGGCGGGGUAACGGCCCACCUAGGCGACGAUCCCUAGCUGGUCGGAGAGGAUGACCAGCCACACUGGAACUGAGACACGGUCCAGACUCCUACGGGAGGCAGCAGUGGGGAAUAUUGCACAAUGGGCGCAAGCCUGAUGCAGCCAUGCCGCGUGUAUGAAGAAGGCCUUCGGGUUGUAAAGUACUUUCAGCGGGGAGGAAGGCGAUGUGGUUAAUAACCGAAUCGAUUGACGUUACCCGCAGAAGAAGCACCGGCUAACUCCGUGCCAGCAGCCGCCGUAA